CAUGCGGCUGAGAAAGCAGACAAGAAAGAUCAGAACGACUGCAUAUUUUCUGCACAGUUAAAAUGUCAAUCAUCACAAGAUCAAACUUCAAGUACCAGAGUAAUCCUAAAUCAUCCUGAUUUGUCAAAAGACUACAUAGAACAGUCUAGAGGUGGAAACUGAUAGAUAAUUUGAAGAGGAUCCUGUUAAAGCAGUCAUAAAUAUGUUUCACAAAACAAUGAACACCUUGUUACAGCAUAUCUUGAACAGCCUA